rnacentral:rRNA from 1 species
UACGUAGGGGGCAAGCGUUGUUCGGAAUUACUGGGCGUAAAGGGCGCGUAGGCGGCACAGCAAGUCGGGAGUGAAAGCCCGGGGCUCAACCCCGGAACUGCUUUCGAAACUGCUGAGCUAGAGUACAGAAGGGGCAACCGGAAUUCCCAGUGUAGCGGUGAAAUGCGUAGAUAUUGGGAAGAACAUCCUGAGGCGAAGGCGGGUUGCUGGGCUGAUACUGACGCUGAGGCGCGAAAGCCAGGGAGCAAACGGG